UACAGAGGUCUCAAGCGUUGUUCGGAUUCAUUGGGCGUAAAGGGUGCGUAGGUGGUGAUGCAAGUCUGGUGUGAAAUCUCGGAGCUCAACUCCGAAAUUGCACCGGAUACUGCGUGACUCGAGGACUGUAGAGGAGAUCGGAAUUCACGGUGUAGCAGUGAAAUGCGUAGAUAUCGUGAGGAAGACCAGUUGCGAAGGCGGAUCUCUGGGCAGUUCCUGACACUGGAGG
rnacentral:rRNA from 1 species